GACGAACCGUGCGAACGUUGUUCGGAAUCACUGGGCUUAAAGGGCGCGUAGGCGGACCACCAAGUCGGGGGUGAAAUCUUUCAGCUCAACUGGAAAAGAGCUUCCGAUACUGGUGGUCUCGAGGGAGGUAGGGGUCGAGGGAACUAAUGGUGGAGCGGUGAAAUGCGUAGAUAUCAUUAGGAACGCCGGUGGCGAAAGCGCUCGACUGGACCUCUUCUGACGCUGAGGCGCGAAAGCCAGGGGAGCAAACAGG
rnacentral:rRNA from 1 species